rnacentral:lncRNA from 1 species
AAAAAACUUGUCCAAACGGGUUCUUAGCACCGCAAAACUCAACCAAACCCGGAUUCAGCCUCAAACGAGCUCAAGCUAUGGACUUGCGAUAUUAAAACUCGGACUCUGUUCCCGUUUUGACUUUGUUCUUCUCGAAAUAAUAUUGAAUCAAAAGAAAACAAAACAUCUUGGUAUUUUCUUCAUUGCAAUAACCCUAUCAGUCCAUUUUGGUGUCCCAUUUGUGCUAAUUAGUUGUCACCUGGUAAAUACAAAGGGACAAAACGCGACACUUAUGCAAAAUCAACAGAAACAGAAAAAGAAGAGCAUCAUAGAACAGAAAAUUUAAACCCUGUGUUUCUUUUUACUCGAGAUUAAAAAGGUUUUGGCUCAAAGAGAGCUCUCUUCAACCAAGAAUUCUCCUCUGAGCAGUCUACACAAGCAAAAACGAAACCAUGGCCAACUCUUUCACUAUGUGAAAAUCAGCAAGUACACAUGAAUCCGGCCAUGAAAAUUUGAACGAAAACAGCAGCAAAUCGCUACAGGGACUUGAACCAACAAAACUCGACCUCGACUAACACCUCACAUAGGAAUCCGAAUUGAAAAUCAGAAGAAAACCAGAACUCGACAUGAAAAUCGAAAGGAUUCGAAAUCGAAAUCAGAAAGAAACAAAAAAAAAAAACCCCCAUCCGUUCACUUCCUCUGUUCUCACUAUUUUUCGGAGCUUAUGCUCUGUUUUUCAUCCCUUUCUCGUCUCCGUUCUGUUCUUACUCCCUCCUCAAUAUGUGUGUGCGUUGAGGUUGCUGGGAGAUAGGGCUAGGUGGGUGGAAUUGAAGGGUGGGGGUUUCCAGCGAGCCGCUGCUGGUAUGGUCGUUUGAAGAAGGAGUCGCCGGUGUUAACGUUCCCGGCAUGGACGCUUGGAGCUGCAUGGUGAAGGGAGACGGCUUGAAGGCUGUGAAUCAAACUGAGGUCGUUGGUCUGGUUAAGAAGAAACCAUGGGAGUUGGCCUUUCUUCUUUGAAGAAGAUGAAGAUCGACCAGGGGGUCUUUUUUUAGUUCUGCGGCUGAAGCUCCUCAGUUUGAGGUCUCGAAAACUUAAGGAGUUAAAGUGUUAUUUUAUAGGGGUGAAGCUAAUAGUUAGGACGCUCAUCCGUUUCCUUGGUAAGGCCACUAAGUGGAAGCAACCGAUGCUUUGAUCAUUCAAUGGACUCUCAAGCUCUAAAGAAUUUGGGUUAUGAAUUUCGAUUAAUUAAUUUUGG